GGAAUAUUGGUCAAUGGACGCAAGUCUGAACCAGCCAUGCCGCGUGGAGGAUGAAGGCCUUCUGGGUUGUAAACUUCUUUUAUUGGGGAAGAAAAGCACGGUUUCUACUGUGUCCGACGGUACCCAAGGAAUAAGCACCGGCUAACUCCGUGCCAGCAGCCGCGGUAAUACGGAGGGUGCAAGCGUUAUCCGGAUUCACUGGGUUUAAAGGGUGUGUAGGCGGGCUGUUAAGUCAGUGGUGAAAUCUCCAGGCUCAACCUGGAAACUGCCAUUGAUACUAUCAGUCUUGAAUUUUGUUGAGGUAGGCGGAAUAUGUCAUGUAGCGGUGAAAUGCUUAGAUAUGACAUAGAACACCGAUUGCGAAGGCAGCUUACUAAGCAAAUAUUGACGCUGAGGCACGAAAGCGUGGGGAUCAAAC
rnacentral:rRNA from 1 species